rnacentral:rRNA from 1 species
GACGAACGCUGGCGGCGUGCUUAACACAUGCAAGUCGAGCGAGAAACUUCGGUUUCUAGCGGCGGACGGGUGAGUAACACGUGGGCAACCUGCCUCACAAUGGGGGAUAGCCUUCCGAAAGGAAGAUUAAUACCGCAUAACACAAAGGAAACGCAUGUUUCUUUUGCCAAAGAAUUUCGUUGUGAGAUGGGCCCGCGGCGCAUUAGCUUGUUGGUGAGGUAACGGCUCACCAAGGCGACGAUGCGUAGCCGACCUGAGAGGGUGAUCGGCCACAUUGGAACUGAGACACGGUCCAGACUCCUACGGGAGGCAGCAGUGGGGAAUAUUGCACAAUGGAGGAAACUCUGAUGCAGCAACGCCGCGUGAGUGAUGAAGGUCUUCGGAUUGUAAAGCUCUGUCUUCUGGGACGAUAAUGACGGUACCAGAGGAGGAAGCCACGGCUAACUACGUGCCAGCCGCCGCAGUAAAAC